UACGUAGGGUGCGAGCGUUGUCCGGAAUUAUUGGACGUAAAGAGCUUGUAGGCGGUUUGUCGCGUCUGCUGUGAAAAUCCGGGGCUCAACCCCGGACUUGCAGUGGGUACGGGCAGACUAGAGUGUGGUAGGGGAGACUGGAAUUCCUGGUGUAGCGGUGAAAUGCGCAGAUAUCAGGAGGAACACCGAUGGCGAAGGCAGGUCUCUGGGCCACUACUGACGCUGAGAAGCGAAAGCAUGGGGAGCGAACAGG
rnacentral:rRNA from 1 species